rnacentral:tRNA from 1 species
GCGCAGUUGGCGUAGUGGUUUAACGCGUGCACUUAAGAGGUGCGAAACCCGGGUUCGAAUCCCGGACUGUGCA